AGCUUCGUGGUCGAGUGGUAAGCACUCACGCCUCUCACCUUGGAGUCCCGGGUUCGAUCCCCAGUCGUGGAGCUA